UUAAUUACCGGUCUAAUGCUUUCGGCUAUUUCUCACGGAACAACGAGACUCAGGUUACUAGCGUUUUGAAACGUUAUUGACCAAGUCAGUAGGGGUGGGUUGGUGUAGAGAAAGGAAGAGGAAGAAAGUCAGAAAAAGCAGCCUGAGUGCGAAACUCAGAACUUGCUAACACAUCAGUGCUCAGCUAUCUAAUUCGAUUCUUUUUCGGAAGGAAAACUUGGCAGGUGUGAAUUUAAUAUGAAGCGUCUAUUUUCGUUUGGCGGCAAAGGACGAAGCCAAUGAGGGCUACCCACGAGAUACAGUCUAGAGGACAUUAUUUCAACAUUUCAGGGUCUGGAAGACGCUUAGGGUUCCCAUAUCCUCUGGAUGACUGAAGGACAUAGCAGUGGAUUCUGACAUGGACUGUGCAGAGGUCAAAGGUCAAAUCCCAGCGGAGGAACAGCUGGAGCCACUGGUUAUCCUCGAGGAAGGGGACGAGCUGGACGAUUUCACACAUAUCUCUGCGAGAGGGAAAGGCGUACUAAGAGUGAAGAAGGAAAACAUGGAAGACAUGAUUAAGGGAAGUUCGGAGGGAAGUACAGAUUCUGAAAACGAUGUGGAAGUGGAAAGUCAGCAAAAGGAAGGGCUGGAAUACAUAAACCAAAAGAUCGAGGGAGUGACAGAAACCGAGGAGAACCCAGAAGUGAAAAUAGUCCAAACCAGACCUGGAUUAGUGAUGGGGAAGGCAGAAGAAGAGAUGGAGGGAUUGAAGACAAAAGCAGUGCCUAAAGAAGAGUCACUUGCUGAUAGCCAGCCUUCUGCCAAACUACGACCCAGGGACCGACUCAGUCCUGAAGAUGCUCAGCAAAAGGUCCACAGAUUAUCCCCAGAUUCUCCUGACGCUCUCUACGAGCUACUUUGCGCUUUGCAAGAGGGCCGUCGGCUCAACGACCAGCGCUGCUCCUUCACACUGCAGCCACGCCGGAGGUGCCACUCGGAGCCUGGAACCCCACGCCACAACCAUAAAGGAGUCUAUGGCAGCCCUAUGAACUGUAAGUAGAAAAAUGAUUAAAUUUGGCACAAUCAUAGAUAUGACCAUGAAUAGUAUCUGGACCAGUUAUGGGUUCUCUAUGACCAACUCUAUAGCGCCACCACUAGUUCAAAAAUUCACUUUUCAAAUGGUUGUAAUUGUUGAACACUUUUUCCUAGAGAAAUUUAGUUCAUCAGAUUACUCUCCUCACGGUGAUCACAAAUCAUAUCUUACAUUUAAGACUCCACCCAUUACAGCAGUCACCAUUUUGAAAUGUACAGUAUUCAGUUUUUUUGCUACUCCUUGUU
ensembl:lncRNA